rnacentral:rRNA from 1 species
GAUGCUAAUACCGGAUAACAACAGAUGAUGCCUAUCAACUGUUUAAAAGAUGGUUCUGCUAUCACUCUUGGAUGGACCUGCGGUGCAUUAGCUAGUUGGUAGGGUAACGGCCUACCAAGGCGAUGAUGCAUAGCCGAGUUGAGAGACUGAUCGGCCACAUUGGGACUGAGACACGGCCCAAACUCCUACGGGAGGCAGCAGCA